AUACGUAGGGGGCGAGCGUUGUCCGGAAUGAUUGGGCGUAAAGGGCGCGUAGGCGGCCCGGUAAGUCUGGAGUGAAAGUCCUGUUUUUAAGAUGGGAAUUGCUUUGGAUACUGUCGGGCUUGAGUGCAGGAGAGGUAAGUGGAAUUCCCAGUGUAGCGGUGAAAUGCGUAGAGAUUGGGAGGAACGCCAGUGGCGAAGGCGACUUACUGGACUGUAACUGACGCUGAGGCGCGAAAGUGUGGGGAGCAAACAGGAUUAGAUACCCUGGUAGUCCACACUGUAAACGAUGAAUGCUAGGUGUAGGGGGUAUCGACCCCUUCUGUGCCGCAGUCAACACAAUAAGCAUUCCGCCUGGGGAGUACGGCCGCAAGGUUGAAACUCAAAGGAAUUGACGGGG
rnacentral:rRNA from 1 species